GAUUUAGUUCCAUCCGUCAAGAUGAAAUUAUACAAAUCUAAGCAAACUGAUAUUAAAUUAUAUUUUAAUAAAAUUUCGGUUUUUAUAGUCGCUUAAAUUGUUUACUCAAAAUUUAAUUUUAUUCAAAUUUAAGGAUGGCUGGAUUCCAUACUUUGGUUUCCAUUUUCAUAUAUCUAAGCUUUGUAUUACUCUUUUUAGUUCCCAGUAAGUUUUAUUGAUGCACAAAUAUAAACGGCGAAGCUUGGUGUUUCAACUGCGAAAUUUUAGCAGAGUGUGAAGUACACACAAAUUUUAAAAAGUUCGCCAAGAAGGUUGAUAAGGACAAGGUAGUUGAAAAGACAGGAAAUGAUCCUGCUAACCCCAACAUGGAUAGAUGCCUGAAAGCGGGUCACACAAUAUCUGGCACUAUUUCGGAUACCAUAUGCUCUGCUGGCGAGGAUAGCAUGUGCCACACGAUAGCGGAGCACACAGAAGAUCCGCUGAAAAUCGGUAUGCACUGUGCAUCGUGCAUGAUCUUGUGCGGCUGUCCACGUAGAAGCCACUUACGCAAAGACCGCCGCAACGAAGAAAGUGCACUAAAAGAAGACGCUAUAGUCAUAACUAUAUGUCUAGCAGCAUUUUACAUGCUGAUGUGAGACAAUCCUAGACAACAAUUUGAAGGCUAUUGACAUUUUCCAAUUCGGUUCUACAGAGGAUUAAGGCAAUUUAGCCCUGUCUAUACGUGCCUCUAAAAUAAAAUGUUUUUAUUGGUUUUUUUUUUUUUAAUUUUCUAAACGGUUUACAUUGAUUUUAUUUUAUAUUUAAAGCGAAAAAAUUAACUAAAGCUUGUCGCAUAAAAAAAGAAAGGAAAAUAAAAUCAGUAUGACAAGGAGGAAAACUCUAGAUGCGGCAGACGACUAGAAGAUCUCCUAAGUACGCUCUCCAAAGUUUGGAUUAAGCAUAAAAUAAAACAAACCCAAAUUCAAUCACCGUCACAAUCAAACAAUCAAUAAUAACUAAAUAGUUAAGUAGAAGAAAUAAAAAAAAUGUGAAUAAUCAUA